GACAGCCUGCACAAGCGCAAGAAGUUAGCUUGAAUUCUCUAGUUGUCCCGAGAUGAUCUUGUAAGGUAAUAGCACUUCCAUUGUCCUGGCACCUAUGUCCUCUUAACAGGUAAUAAUGAUUUAAUAUCCUAAACCUUUUUUGGGAUGAUGUUUGGAUUGCAGAGGUUCCUUUGAGAAUUCUCAUCCCCAAAGCCUACUCUUAUUGUAGGGUUAAGUGUGCAAUGGUCGGCCAAUGUUUAGUGGAAGGGGAGCUACGUUUUGACUUCUGCAGGGCUUUUGCCCAAGAGGAUUUGCAGGAAUGGGAGGAUUUAAAUCGGCUGGUGCAGGAUGUUUCUCUAAACUUGGUUCAGUAUCAAGUGUUUUAGGCACUGGAAAAGUCAAAAUGUCAGACCUAUGUACAGAUUUUUGACAUUUAGAUGAAAUUAAAAGGUUUCAUGUGGUUAGCAAUGCAACAGAGGUUACAGACAGGGACAGCUCUGAAAAAGAGAAGAAAUGGAAAGGGGAUCAGUGUUGUGGUCUUUGUAGGGUGGAUGAGGAUGUCGAUCACAUCUUCUUUCGGUGUGUGGUAGCACAGUUUACUUGGUCUUGCUUCAGAGAGGCUCUCAGGCGGAGGGGGAUUCCUAGCACCACCAUGCAGGAUGUUUUGGAAAAUUGGAUCCCCCCCCCCUUUUUUUUUUUUGGGUGGGGGUGGGGGGGGGCGAUUAAGGGAGAGUUUGUAUGAGAGCCUAUGGGGAUUAUGCUCAGAAUUUGUGCUUGUUUGCAGAGAUGGAAGGUGAGAUUACGUGCUGCUGAUCAAGAGAAGCUGGACAGAUGGAUGAUUGAAGUUCGAGCGUGGGUGGAGACAUAUUCGAACGAUUCAGGAGGCCUCGGAGGAAAUAUUUUGUUAGCUGGACGAUGCCAUGAACAACCGUUGCCUAUCCCACUUCGAAGCAUAUGGGCGAUUCAGAAGAACAUCAAAAGACGAGAGCCACUAAGUACCUGAGCGGCGGGGGAAUGGCGCCGCGACGCGGGAGGCGGGCAGGCUGCAGGGCACCGGAGCGCAGAGGAGAGCGCCUGGGCGUCGGAGGGGCACCGGCCGCGCCGCCGCAGCGGCGGCUAGCAUCUCGGCACCGGUGCGGUCAGCGGAGCAGGCGCAGUGGCGCAGCGCAGGCCUAGAGAUCAAGCUUGCUAACCCUAGGAGGAGGAGGACAGAGGAGUAAAGGCCAGUUUGGGGAGCUUCAGGUGGGUGGGCUGGAGUGGACAACGGGUAGGUGUAGCACGUGGUGUCAGAAGCCGUGUGAUCAUGACAGUGUGAGGCGGCGGCGGGCGGCCGGCUGUGUCGCCGCUCGCCGGCGAGGCGAUUCCAGCAGCGCCGCAGGCUUAUUUGGCACCGAUCCUUCGAGUUUGAGCGACCCAGAUCGAGGCCGGUCAGCCUCAGAGUCAAAGGUAUCCAGACAGCUACUGUGCAAGCUAUUGCAAUUUCUUCAGGUUGUUCGCUGCCUCGACUCCCUCGAGCAUUUCUGAGAACCAAUUUCUGAAGCUCUGUACAAGCAGUUCCAUUCA